rnacentral:rRNA from 1 species
AUUGAACGCUGGCGGCAUGCUUUACACAUGCAAGUCGAACGGUAACAGGCCGCAAGGUGCUGACGAGUGGCGGACGGGUGAGUAAUGCAUCGGAACGUGCCCAGUCGUGGGGGAUAACUACUCGACAGAGUAGCUAAUACCGCAUACGAUCUAUGGAUGAAAGCGGGGGACCGUAAGGCCUCGCGCGAUUGGAUCGGCCGAUGUCGGAUUAGGUAGUUGGUGGGGUAAAGGCUCACCAAGCCAACGAUCUGUAGCUGGUCUGAGAGGACAACCAGCCACACUGGGACUGAGACACGGCCCAGACUCCUACGGGAGGCAGCAGUGGGGAAUGUUGGACAAUGGGCGCAAGCCUGAUCCAGCAAUGCCGCGUGCAGGAAGAAGGCCUUCGGGUUGUAAACUGCUUUUGUACGGAACGAAACGGCUCUGGUUAAUACCCGGGGCUAAUGACGGUACCGUAAGAAUAAGCACCGGCUAACUACGUG